AAAAAACUAACAAUAUAAAAAGAGGAAACAUAUGGAAAUAAUUAUUUAGAGUUGUUGUUCUUUAAAGGUCAAACUGGUGUUCCCAGUCCAGUGGAGGAUGACAAAUCAAGAGUUGUUCAGUUAAGAAACUUGGAUGGUGAAGCAGUAGAAGCAAACUAUGCAUCGGUGCAAACCAGGGUUAGAAGACCCAAUGAGAAGAGACAGCAGCCACAAGAAUGUGUUUACUCUGCAGUCAGAUCAGAUGAUCACCAAAAGCUCUCUUCACUCUAAUUAUAACACCACUCUUACAUUUGUUGCACAAAUGUAAGAGUGUAACAAAAAGGAUUUUAACUUUUGUUGCAUCUUCACUGUUUUUUUUUCAAGCACAACUUGUAUUUUCUUCAUUCAUUUUGUAGUAUCAGUCUAUUGUAACUGACAAAAACAACAGCUGUUUUGCUUUCUUUUAGAACACACUAAAUAAUGUAUUUUAACAUAAAUUAAUAGAAUUGUACAGAAUUGUAAAUUAUGUCCACAAACUGUUAAAGAAUAGAAGCUGAAAUGUCAUUGCAACAGAUUUCUGAUAUAAAAGUUAUUUUCAAACAAACGUUCUUUAUGAAGACGGAAUAAACUUAUA